CCUACGGGUGGCAGCAGUGGGGGAUAUUGCACAAUGGGGGAAAUCCUGAUGCAGCGACGCCGCGUGUGGGAAGACGGUCCUCUGGAUUGUAAACCACUGUCCCCAGGGACGAAGAUGACGGUACCUGGGGAGGAAGCUCCGGCUAACUACGUGUCAGGAGCCGAGGUAAUACGUAGGGAGCGAGCGUUGUCCGGAAUUACGGGGGUUAAAGGGAGCGUAGGCGGGACUGCAAGUUGGGUGUCAAAUCUACCGGCUGAACCGGUAGCCGAACGCACAACUGCAGUUCUUGAGUGAAGUAGAGGCAGGCGGAAGUCCUAGUGUAGCGGUGAAAGGCGUAGAUAGACGGAGGA
rnacentral:rRNA from 1 species